GCGGCCGUGGUGAAAACGGUAGACACGCCGAAUUGCGUAGAUGCCUUGCGGGGCCUCUACGAAUUCGGCGGGAGAAAUCCCGUGGGGGUUCAAGUCCCCCCGGCCGCUCCA
rnacentral:tRNA from 1 species